rnacentral:rRNA from 1 species
UGUGAACUCGAAGAGUAGGGCGGGACACGUGGUAUCCUGUCUGAAUAUGGGGGGACCAUCCUCCAAGGCUAAAUACUCCUGACUGACCGAUAGUGAACCAGUACCGUGAGGGAAAGGCGAAAAGAACCCCGGCGAGGGGAGUGAAAAAGAACCUGAAACCGUGUACGUACAAGCAGUGGGAGCACCUUCGGGUGUGACUGCGUACCUUUUGUAUAAUGGGUCAGCGACUUAUAUUCUGUAGCAAGGUUAACCGUAUAGGGGAGCCGCAGGGAAACCGAGUCUUAACUGGGCGUUAAGUUGCAGGGUAUAGACCCGAAACCCGGUGAUCUAGCCAUGGGCAGGUUGAAGGUUGGGUAACACUAACUGGAGGACCGAACCGACUAAUGUUGAAAAAUUAGCGGAUGACUUGUGGCUGGGGGUGAAAGGCCAAUCAAACCGGGAGAUAGCUGGUUCUCCCCGAAAGCUAUUUAGGUAGCGCCUCGUGAACUCAUCUUCGGGGGUAGAGCACUGUUUCGGCUAGGGGGUCAUCCCGACUUACCAACCCGAUGCAAACUACGAAUACCGAAGAAUGUUAUCACGGGAGACACACGGCGGGUGC